UACGAAGGGGGCUAGCGUUGUUCGGAAUUACUGGGCGUAAAGCGCGUGUAGGCGGCUUGGCAAGUCGGAUGUGAAAGCCCACGGCUCAACCGUGGAAGCGCAUCCGAAACUGCUUCGCUCGAGUCUCGGAGAGGAAGGUGGAAUGCUUGGUGUAGAGGUGAAAUUCGUAGAUAUCAAGCAGAACACCUGCGGCGAAGGCGGCCUUCUGGACGAUGACUGACGCUGAGACGCGAAAGCGUGGGGAGCAAACAGG
rnacentral:rRNA from 1 species